GUAGGUGGCAAGCGUUGUCCGGAAUUAUUGGGCGUAAAGCGCGCGCAGGCGGUUCUUUAAGUCUGAUGUGAAAGCCCACGGCUCAACCGUGGAGGGUCAUUGGAAACUGGAGAACUUGAGUACAGAAGAGGAAAGCGGAAUUCCACGUGUAGCGGUGAAAUGCGUAGAGAUGUGGAGGAACACCAGUGGCGAAGGCGGCUCUCUGGUCUGUAACUGACGCUGAGGCGCGAAAGCGUGGGGAGCAAACAGGAUUAGAUACCCUGGUAGUCCACGCCGUAAACGAUGAGUGCUAAGUGUUAGGGGGGUUUUCCGCCCCCCUUAGUGCUGCAGCUAACGCAUUAAGCACUCCGCCUGGGAGUACGGCCGCAAGGCUG
rnacentral:rRNA from 1 species